CCCUUAUUUACCUCAAUGUUUUCUUCCAGUCCCUUUGUUCUCUCUAGAACAACUUGUAUUUUAUUAACUAACAACUAGGAGUUCCGAUGGAGAGUGUUGAAAGUGAAGUCAGUUAACUAGAAGGAUGAGCAACAGGCCUGAUGUGUGGCUAUAUGAAGAGAAAUCAUUGCAGUCGCAGGGUUAAAGAUUACCAGUCAAGGACACCGACGAUUCCAGGAAAAGGAAGAAGAAAAGCAAGGGAGGAAGGGAGUCUACGCCAUAAAGAGCAUCGCACCAGGCACACACAGAGCUUUCAAAAGCAUUUGGAGGCAACCGUAUUAAAAACUCAGGAUUGUUAGUGUCACAGUGUAAAAUGUUGGGCUGUCACCGCAAAUGGCACAUGAGGCUCAUAUAUAAGACAAGCUCAGCCGGAGCUGUGUUUAUGUUUUUCAGGAUGAAUUUAAAGCACUGUCCGUGUCUUCCCACUCCCUCCUUCUCCAGCAGCAGGAAAGCAGAAGAGUAGUGUGGGUGUCAACUCUGUGGAAAGCAGGUUGGAAAAUACGCCAAGGAAGUGAGGACUUUAAUUACCUUCCAUCCCAUAGUCCAAUGACAAUAAUGCUUGCCAGUGAUAAAUUCUCACCAAGUUACACGCCUCUCUCUUGUACUCGCUAGGCAACCAUUGUCCCCUCGGUGGCUGACUGUCACAAAGACAGACAUCAGGUGAUCUGCUAAGUAUAAACUCUCACUGCUUCAUUAAAAUCUAUCACAAACAUUAAGCAAGGCCAUUUAGAUGUCUCCUAAACUAGCAGGCAUACAUCCAGGAGAUUUCAGAUUUGCUAGGAUAUAAAAGCUGUCAUAUUUUGAAUAACGAAUAUGCAAUCAAAUUAUCAAAUUGUUUUCUUUCUCAAACCACAAUUAACAAUAAUGUAUAACAACCUCUCCCCACUACCACCAAAAAGUAAUUUCCAUGAUAAUAUGGAAAGGCUCAAUUUUAUAGGGCACUUAUUGACUGAGGCAAGGUGAAUUUUUCUUCUCCCUGUUUCUGUAUUUCUCUUUUAAUAUGCCCUGUUUCUAUCUCUUCUGGUAUCCACAAAUCUCAUAGUAAAAUAUUAAUCAUGCCAUUGCUGGCCAACCAGU